rnacentral:lncRNA from 1 species
UUGAAUGGAAAUGCGAUUUAGGAGCGACCAUAUGGUCGUGUGUUGCCUCCUCUGUAAAUCUCAGGCAAGGUUGGUUGCAGGAUAGUUUUCUCCCGUUACCAGGCAGCAAGCAGUGAGAUUACGGUAAUAAUGUUAGUUAGCACAACUUUAAAAUUAACUCACAGAAAACCGAAGAAAACUCGCAAACACACUCCUGGUUUUGCCAGAGCAAAUUCUAGCUCGUAUCGAAUACCGAUGUGUGACACGUAGCGGAUUGUUAUGGUUGCGUAGUCGUUAAUGUUUUGUGUGUAGCGUAACAACUACUACUACAGCAAUUAUGAUAUCGAGUUCACACAUCAUGCUUUGUUUUUGUUCCCAUUUCUCCUCAGAGUCUCUACCAGUCAAGUCAAGUCAGCUCCAUAGGCUAUUAUAACCGGUUUAUGUUACAAUCCUAUUGUUGUCUGUUUCCAGUCGCGCUGCUUCGUCAGACAUUGUUACAAUGUUCCUACAUAAUGACAGACCCCCUCAAUCUGUGCUUUGAGAAGGGAUUGUUUGGAAGCCAUAUACUUGAAGUGCAUUGGCCAAAGAAAACUGUAGUCCUGUAAUCUGUUGUAGACUACCGCCAUGGCCUCCGCCAGUGACAUCCGAGACAAACUGCGGAGAAAACGCCGUGCUUUUCAGGAGUCUCUUGUCAGAGUCCGCGAUGAUACUCAGGUGACCUUCCCUAGUUCCUGCUCUUUAUGUGUUUCAGUGUAUCAUGUCUGUCACCCUCUACUGUUAUCUUGCCGUGUUGUCAAUAACACUUUGUUUGAAUUCAGUACUGAACCUGUGUAGUGGGGAAAGCUAGUGUUUAACCGGACUGAACAAGGUCCCUGCAUGGAGGUGCAUAUAGCGUGUACGUUACUUAGAGCAUGUUCACAAAUGGGACUUUGGAUCUUAGUACUGUACUCUACCUGCUAGGCUUUGGUCUCCUCGGUGAUGGAGGUCAAUAGGGACUCUGCUGCAGAGGUUGGUGUGGUCUUUCUGCAGCUUGACUUAUCUUGAGUGCUGUGCUCCCUGCUCUUGUUUCCUACCCUAGAAUAACCUGUAGGCUUACAUCUUGUAGUUCCACAAUUCCUCUCCAAAAGCUGCUACUACUCUCUCAGAUUCCUAGACUCUGCUGUUUGUUUGUGUAUGCUUGAGCUUGUUCAUGUCAUUACAACGAUUUCACUUCCUGUGAGGCUGUGUAGUUGUCCUCUUUUCUGAAAUCCUCCCCUGUGUGCUGUAUGUUUUUCGCUUUGCCUUUAUGAUGUUCAUCUCUAAAACUUCCUGUUCACAUAAGUUGAUGCACUGUAAUAAGAUCUGGGGAAGCAAUGUAGGGGGAUCCGUCUAGCUUGUCUUGACUUCAGUGUGUGUUCGGCUUUUA